UCCAGCGUAGCUCAGUGGUAGAGCCACCGGCUGUUAACCGGUUAGUCGCAGGUUCGAAUCCUGCCGCUGGAGCCA
rnacentral:tRNA from 1 species